UAAAAAUAUGUCUGUACAAUACGGCACUAAACAAGAAAUACAAGUAAACUCAUUCGGAUAUGUAUUUGAAACUUAUCGCUGCAUAAUAUUUCGGUGAAUCCCCUUAUGCUGUGAGUGAUUUCGAGGAAUCCCCGGGUUGAAAUAAAAGAGAGCUAAACCGAAACAGCGUUAAGCGGGGUCUUACUGUAUUUUAGUUGUAAGUUUAGCCCAAAAAAAUAAACAAAAAUCACCUAAUAUUAUACCGAAAAAAUACGAGAAGUGCAGAGAGUUAAAUUAUUACAUUUGAAUACAUAUAGUAGCGCCUCGCGUCAUCUUUUGACGAGAGGCAGACGCAGUUGCAGCUGAACUAGUGGACGUUGCGCACAGUAAAGCCAUCUCUAGUCGAGUAGCCGAACUAUUUUGUGUUGGAUGGAAACUUUGCAUUGUUUCUCGAUUAUUCACCACGCACCUAGGUCGGAAAGAGCGGUGCUUUGUGGAAGCUAUAUAAGCGGCGCGUGACCGCGCUUACGGCAGUAUUGUACCGUGUAAGUGAGUAAUUUUAGAGCAGUGUUAUUCGAUGACCCUGUUAAGGAUAGAUACGUGAAUCAUUAUUACUGUCGAAAAAUGGAGGGGAAAAAGGAAGGGUGAUAAAUUAAAGGUAUGGACUACUGGAAAGAGUGGUGUAGUCAAGGGGUUUCUAAUAAAGAAACAAAUUUAGAUUUAACUAUCGAAGCUUCAGAUACCUUGCAUGCUGAUAAGAAGACUGCGAUGGCAAGCGGGCCCUCAAUCACAAUAUCGAAAUCGAUGCCAUGUUACUGGUGCCCUGUUCGAUACCUUCAACUGCCGAAUCUACAUCUAGUCUGCAACAGGCCAGCUUGCCUGGUACCUUAUCUUUUACAACAGUAGCUAAGUUGGAUGUUGGUUUUUUACGCGAAUCAAGAAAAAAUCUUGGAUGAAUAUUUUAAAGUCCAAUUUUAUUAUUAUGAGUUUCCUAUUUUCACAAAACGAAACUUGCGGUUUCGAUUAAAAAGGCUUGAGAGAUUUCGCUGGUUGUCAUAUUUGGAAUAUAAAAGUGGAGCAUACUGCAAAGUUUGCGUGGCAAUGGGACGUUCGCUUGAUGAAGGUAAAGGCGGUCAUCAAAAGAUUGGCUACCUGGUAAGCGAACCUUUUAGUAAAUGGAAAAAUGCCCUAGCCGGUGCCCAAGCUUAUGUUCUUUUGCUCUUUAUGUAUACUGUAGGGCAACCUUGCGAUUGCUGAUUCAUGUUCAUUAGCAAAUGUCCGAAAUUGCAUUGGGAUUGUGCAAUCUGUUGGUUCCUACUUUCGACAUUUUGCUCAUUGCACUGUUAAAGGAAAAAAUUCUAGAGCUUGAAGAGCUACUACCCGUUGGUAACCAAAAAAGCUAGCUCUCAAUGUGUGAAACACGGUGGGUCCACAUGAAGCUAUUAUAAGAUUCAAGGAAAUUUAUUCAGCGAUUGUGAAUGCUUUCGAAGAACUCAAUCACAAUAAGGAAACAUCGCAACAAGCCGUCAAAUUACUAAGUACGCUUCGAUUUUUGGAUUUUGUGAUGUGUUUAGUGAUUCUUCAAAAAGUUAUGAACUAUAUAUUGUCGCUAUCAAAACAAUUACAAACAAUUGAUAUCGAUCUCAUCACGGCAUUCAAACAUGUAGAUGAUGUUAUUAAUGUCACAACUCCUGAGAAACAAAACUGACGUUGAAUAUCUUCAUCUAUAUGAAGACGCAAAGGAUUUACUGAAAAAAAUGGUGGUAUAUUGCGAAUACCACGCGUUGUAUGCACGUAUUACAAAAUUAAUUUGUUCAUUCCAUUACAUGAUCAUACAAUUCAACAAUUGGUUGAAAGGUUUACCAAACAUCGUAAAGUAUUCCAUAUACUCGUCACUACUUCCCGAAAGCAACAUAUCAGUGGUUAAAACAGAACUUGAAGUAUGGAAAACAGUGAUGACAGGUAUCUCGCCUACCCCUAAAUCUAGUUUAGAAUGCCUAGAUAUGUGCGAUAAAAACCUUUAUCCUAAUUUAUUUAUUUUAUGUUUCAAUAACUUUUUCAAGCUUUCAUUUUAGUAGUGUAUGGUAUUAUUGUUUAUCAUAUCUUAAUAAAGCAAAAUCAUGGAUCUAUAAAGAUAUGUAGUGGACACAUUAUUCUAGGUGUGGCGAGAACGUUUAAUUAUUGUAAAAAAAUAAUGAAGCGGUAGUGUUGUCUAUUUUCUUGUGUAAAUUUUUGAUACAUACAACUUGCUUCAAAACUUGUAAACAAAAUGCACAAUUACACAAUUGCUAUUACUUGAUUACUUAACUAUAUAAAUGUGCAUACUACUAAUGUAAGAUUUAUUUAUUUAAGUUGAUUUUUAGUAAAAUGAAAAACAUGUGAAUAUUCUACAAAGAAUUUUUGAAUAUUUGUGCUCGAAAUAAGCUCAUCUUAAAAUCUCAACAAUGGUUCCGUCAAUAAGCAUUUAACAAACAAUUUGUUUUUAAUUUCCAACAAGAUGAGAAAGAUGUAAUCUUGGCAUUCCAACAAGAUCACUUUCUAAAACAACUAAAAAGAUGCCCCAAGAAAAAUUGCAGGAAUCAACAAGUGCUAUUGUGAAAUAUAGAAUAUACAGUAUAUUGUAGAAAAUGUAAACACUACAGCCGCAUUACUAAUGGCUCAUUCUUUGAAGGCACCCAUUUGUCAUUUGAAGAUAUAAUUAUUAGUCUAUGGUUUUGGGUUUUUCAUGUAUCCUCUCUAGAUGCUAUCAAAGUAUCAUCAAUUAGAAGAGAAGCUGUGGUUCAAUAUUGAUAUUUUCAAUAGAUAUUUCAGAGAUAUUGUCUCAUGGAAAAUCCCAUCAAUGCCACAUCAAGAAAUUGGAGGAGGAAUUCACUAAGAUCUGACAAAAAUUGUGCAUUCAACAAAAAGUCAUUACUACCGAAGAUCAAUCAAGAGGCAAAUUUUGAUGAUAGAUCUUCUAAAAUCCAUGAACCAAGAUUAUGUGUAAAGAAGAAAAAUCCAGAAGAUUACUUUGUAUAAGGCAUAUUAUUAAGAAUUGGAACAUACAGAGCAGGUAUUUAGCUUAUAUCAGUUACAAACCAAAAACUUAUUUUAAUUUGUUUUGUUUUGGUUGUUAAACAUACUAUAGAUGGAAAGAUGUGGAAGAUUAUUAAAAAUGAAAAACCAAAUACCAAAAAUUACCACAGAAACGUUACUGUUGAUACUAAGAAUUAAAAAUUCAGAACAAAGCAAAUGUUUAGGAUAGCAUAGAAAUAAUUGAGAUCAGGGCAUUUAAGGUAAAACUGAAUUGGUGUCGGAUAUGGUAUUAUAAUGUAAGGACAAAGAAGAUUUAAGAAUAUAUGAGUCUUUGAAAACUUUAAUUUGCUACCAAGAUGAUGUUAAAAGUUUCAAGAAAAGAAAUGAGAAGCACUCACAAAAAAAAUGGUUUCAAUAAUUUAGUAUAUUUUGUGAUUUGUAGAAAUUGGAGAUUGGAAUUACAAAGUUAGAAAUGUGAAAGCGAAGAACUUUAAUCAUUUUAUCAAAUUUAUUAGAUUAAUUAGAUUUUUAAGCAAGCCUGUUAAGAAUAUUUAUUUUUUUGUCAGUUCUUAGCCUAAAAAAGUGU